UACGUAGGGCGCAAGCGUUGUCCGGAAUUAUUGGGCGUAAAGAGCUCGUAGGCGGUUUGUCGCGUCUGCUGUGAAAACCUAAGGCUCAACCUUGGGCUUGCAGUGGGUACGGGCAGACUAGAGUGCGGUAGGGGUGACUGGAAUUCCUGGUGUAGCGGUGGAAUGCGCAGAUAUCAGGAGGAACACCGAUGGCGAAGGCAGGUCACUGGGCCGUAACUGACG
rnacentral:rRNA from 1 species